GAUGAACGCUAGCUACAGGCUUAACACAUGCAAGUCGAGGGGAAACGGCAUUUAGUGCUUGCACCGAAUGGACGUCGACCGGCGCACGGGUGAGUAACGCGUAUCCAACCUACCCAUUACUGUGGGAUAACCUGCCGAAAGGCAGACUAAUACCGCAUAGUCUUCGAUGACGGCAUCAGAUUUGAAGUAAAGAUUUAUCGGUAAUGGAUGGGGAUGCGCCUGAUUAGCUUGUUGGCGGGGUAACAGCCCACCAAGGCAACGAUCAGUAGGGGUUCUGAGAGGAAGGUCCCCCACAUUGGAACUGAGACACGGUCCAAACUCCUACGGGAGGCAGCAGUGAGGAAUAUUGGUCAAUGGGCGCGAGCCUGAACCAGCCAAGUAGCGUGCAGGAUGACGGCCCUAUGGGUUGUAAACUGCUUUUGUAUGGGGAUAAAGUCAAUCACGUGUGAUUGUUUGCAGGUACCAUACGAAUAAGGACCGGCUAAUUCCGUGCCAGCAGCCGCGGUAAUACGGAAGGUCCAGGCGUUAUCCGGAUUUAUUGGGUUUAAAGGGAGCGUAGGCCGGAGAUUAAGUGUGUUGUGAAAUGUAGACGCUCAACGUCCGACUUGCAGCGCAUACUGGUUUCCUUGAGUACGCACAACGUUGGCGGAAUUCGUCGUGUAGCGGUGAAAUGCUUAGAUAUGACGAAGAACUCCGAUUGCGAAGGCAGCUGACGGGAGCGCAACUGACGCUUAAGCUCGAAGGUGCGGGUAUCGAACAGG
rnacentral:rRNA from 1 species